AUGAACGCUGGCGGCGUGCCUAAUACAUGCAAGUCGAGCGAACAGACGAGGAGCUUGCUCCUCUGACGUUAGCGGCGGACGGGUGAGUAACACGUGGAUAACCUACCUAUAAGACUGGGAUAACUUCGGGAAACCGGAGCUAAUACCGGAUAAUAUAUUGAACCGCAUGGUUCAAUAGUGAAAGACGGUUUUGCUGUCACUUAUAGGUGGAUCCGCGCCGCAUUAGCUAGUUGGUAAGGUAACGGCUUACCAAGGCAACGAUGCGUAGCCGACCUGAGAGGGUGAUCGGCCACACUGGAACUGAGACACGGUCCAGACUCCUACGGGAGGCAGCAGUAGGGAAUCUUCCGCAAUGGGCGAAAGCCUGACGGAGCAACGCCGCGUGAGUGAUGAAGGUCUUCGGAUCGUAAAACUCUGUUAUUAGGGAAGAACAAAUGUGUAAGUAACUAUGCACGUCUUGACGGUACCUAAUCAGAAAGCCACGGCUAACUACGUG
rnacentral:rRNA from 1 species